CAGCCGCAAACUCCCUGGCGGUCGGAUGGAACCGAUGUCCUCCCUUCCCUCGGAUAACUGAAAAGAGGUUCUGCAAAAAUCGGCAGCCACAACUCACCCAAACUUCCAUGUCUGGAUCCAUGCCAUGCAGUCCUGGAGGAAGGUCAGACGGCACGAAUUGGCCACCAGAGGCCUCCUCCACCAUUUGGUGUCCUUCAGGCUCCUUCAGAAUGGACAUCGAAGAGUUGGUCCAUCCGAUGAAAGAAAUUUGCAGUGUGG